rnacentral:rRNA from 1 species
AUUGAACGCUGGCGGCAUGCUUUACACAUGCAAGUCGAACGGUAACAGGUUAAGCUGACGAGUGGCGAACGGGUGAGUAAUGCAUCGGAACGUGCCCGGUCGUGGGGGAUAACGCAGCGAAAGCUGCGCUAAUACCGCAUACGAUCUGAGGACGAAAGCGGGGGACCGUAAGGCCUCGCGCGAUCGGAGCGGCCGAUGUCAGAUUAGGUAGUUGGUGGGGUAAAGGCUCACCAAGCCAACGAUCUGUAGCUGGUCUGAGAGGACGACCAGCCACACUGGGACUGAGACACGGCCCAGACUCCUACGGGAGGCAGCAGUGGGGAAUUUUGGACAAUGGGCGAAAGCCUGAUCCAGCAACGCCGCGUGCAGGAAGAAGGCCUUCGGGUUGUAAACUGCUUUUGUACGGAGCGAAAAGGUCUCCUCUAAUACAGGGGGCUCAUGACGGUACCGUAAGAAUAAGCACCGGCUAACUACGUGCCAGCCGCCGCGGUAA